CAUUGCCUUUCAGGCAUGUAGAGGAGAUUACUCUUGUGCAGAAUAUACUUGCAAUUGACUCAAUGAUUACUUUGUCAAUUUUAUUUAUCUUUCAGGAGGAUAAGAUUCAAGAGAAGACUAAAGAAAAGAAAACUGUGUCUGAUUCUGAAAACAAAUCUAGCUGGGUGAACUCCAUUCUUCUACCAGCAGCAGCUGUCGCAGUUGUGGUCGCCAUUGCUGGUUACAAGUACUUCCAUGCUAAUAAUUAAGAACAAUCUACCACGUGUUAGCCACAUCACUGGAAUUUUACAAGCAGCUCUGAUCAUUAUGUUGUUAUAGUAUAUAAAAGUUCUUUAGAAUCUCUUAACCAGUGUCUGUCCGUAGAGUGGAUUGAGUCCCAACUUGGUAUUACCAGCAGAGGGAAAAAAUCAAAAAUUAAAAACAUUUUCAUUUUAAUUUUUUCCUGGCGAAAUGUUCAUGUUUUGGUUUAGUACUUGUUCUUGAAAAGUGAUCACCCACUGUGAUUUCUGAGGCAUAAUUCACCGAAAAACCCAUCGAGUUUGUGUUGAGAAGAGUAAGAACGAGCCUAAGCUGAACUGUGACUCCGUAAUAAAUUUCCUUUUCACUUGUA